UACGUAGGUGGCAAGCGUUAUCCGGAUUUACUGGGUGUAAAGGGCGUGUAGACGGGUUUGAAAGUCAGGCGUGAAAUACCGCAGCUUAACUGCGGGGCUGCGCUUGAAACUUCAAAUCUUGAGUGCUGGAGAGGAAAGCGGAAUUCCUAGUGUAGCGGUGAAAUGCGUAGAUAUUAGGAGGAACACCAGUGGCGAAGGCGGCUUUCUGGACAGUAACUGACGUUGAGGCGCGAAAGUGUGGGGAGCAAACAGG
rnacentral:rRNA from 1 species